UAGAAAAUAAUGCACAUUUAUGUAGAAAAUUUGCAAAUGUAAACUAUAAAGAAGCUAAAAAAUUGUGCAUAUUCUUAGCAAGCAUUGUUAUUUUAAGCUGAAUUAAUUCUAAAAGAAAUUUUAUUCUUAUUAGUUCCUAUGCAUACAGUCAUUUUAUUGAAAAUAUGAUAAUAUAAACACUAGUUUUAUCCUUAACCAACCAAACCUAUUUACUAUGACCCUAAAAUAUGAUGGGGACCUGUUAAGAUGCCAUCAAACAUCCAGAGGACAUGGAAUAUGUGUCCUGAAUUUUCUGUUUCUGUUUUAACAGUGGAGUUAAUAUUAUUACUUAUCCCAUACCCACCACUGGACUAAAUUCUUUGUAUGGAUCAGCAAUUUAAUACUUAUAACAAGUUUAUAACAAAAGUGCUAUUAUUAGGUUUCCACUUUACAGGUGGAAAAGUUGAGAUGAGAUAUAUUAAGUUAUUUGACCAAGGUUACACACUAGUAAGUGGUAGGUCGGAUUCUGACCAGCUCCUGUGUUCUGAAACCCUAAACAUCCUUCUCCUAAACAUGAAAGUGCUUAGUUUCUUAAAGAGAUAAACGCCUAACCACGUCAGUCAGGACGUAUUUGAGCACAUGAAAGGGCAACAAAGUACAUCCCUUCACUUUGAUUUCAGCAGAAACACAUCCCCUGUAUCAAGCGAUGACAAGCCCCAUGGGGCUGUGCUCAGGCGACAGGCUGGAAAUGCAUGUGUGUGGCAGGCAGGCUUGUGAGAUCACAUCCGAAGGCUGGCUGGACUCAUUUCAGACCUUUGGAGUGUUGAUUUAGACAAGAGGGAGAAGACGCAAACCCUUCUUCUUUGGCUUAGAAGAUUAUGGAUCUGCAACUUCAAAAGCUGUUUGCAAUUUUAUAUUCACAUCUCACUGCCAAGGUGCUUGUCUUAUCUUAAGUCAGUUGGCUGGAGCUGCUCUGAUUUGCUGACAGAACACCCACACCACAUUUGUUGGAGGAUAAAACCAUUUCCAGGAGCCCAGCUUCUCUUCACCCUUUUCCACAGCCACCUCCUCUCUAAAUUGCCUGAACUCACAGCAGAAAGUCACCAGAGGGCAUUCUCAGACCAUCUAUUAUCAAGGGACUCCAGCUGGGAAGUACGAGACUCUUCUCACUUAGAUCUCCUUUUGGAUGAAGAGGCAGUCUCUGACUCUCACUUGGAAACACAUGGAGUCUGAAGGCUGCCUUGCUCAAUAAACCACCACCCCACCCUGGGGUCUCA
rnacentral:lncRNA from 1 species